AUUGAACGCUGGCGGCAGGCCUAACACAUGCAAGUCGAACGAGAGGCGGACGGGUGAGUAAUGUAUGGGAAACUGCCUGGUGGAGGGGGUUAACUACUGGAAACGGUAGCUAAUACCGCCUACCAUCAGCUGUGCCCAGAUAGGAUUCGCUAGUUGGAGGGGUAACGGCUCACCAAGGUGACGAUCCCUAGCUGGUCUGAGAGGAUGACCAGUCACACUGGAACUGAGACACGGUCCAGACUCCUACGGGAGGCAGCAGUGGGGAAUAUUGAACAAUGGGCGCAAGCCGGAUGCAGCCAUGCCGCGUGUAUGAAGAAGGCCUUCGGUUUGUAAAGUACUUUAAGCGGGGAGGCGUUACCCGCAGAAGAAGCACCGGCUAACUCCGUGCCAGCAGCCGCGGUAAUAC
rnacentral:rRNA from 1 species